rnacentral:lncRNA from 1 species
UGCUUGCUGCUUUGGGGGAAUGUCCUUGGAAAGACUCUGAGACCAACUCUGAGCUACUGAUGUUCCUCGGUCCUGUAUGAAUAUCUAGUUAAGACUGAAUAUUGUUUUAGGACAGAGUUACUUUUAUCUGGAACUGUGUCCAUUGUGUCUGGAAAGAAGACGACAAAACAGAUGGGGAUUACGUUUCUGAAGCUCAUCCUCGUCCUCCUGGGACUCGUCACCUCAGUGCUGCUGUCUGCGUUUGGAUGCAGCGCUGUCUGCUGUGAUGUGACCUCAGUGGUUGUCGACUUAUCCUCCAAUGAGUGUGGACUUCCCAUGGCUACUCUUUCUCAUGACUAUGAUGAGGUGGCUUUCCAACCCACUUAGUUGUUUGAUAUGUCAACUUUCGAACCAUUCCUGGAUUUACUCUAAUUGUAUUAUUGGGAGUAAAUCAGUAAUCAGGCAGUGAACAGCCUUCAGCGUUCUCAAGGGGAGAGAAAGUCACAGAUUUGCUGACGUUGACUCCGCUGUGGUCUCCUACUCUACCCCCAAUUAUGAUUACAUUUGGACAUGAUAAAUAAAGCCUAUGAUUCAUCAGCA